GGAGAUGUAGCUCAGCGGUAGAGCAUUUGCCUAAUAUGCACAAGGUCCUGGGUUCAAUCCCAAGUAUCACCA